GCUGCCUCUGACACUGAAGAGGUGACCGUAGCCAGCUGGUGCUGGUGAUGGAUAGGUUCCCAUGAUGCUGUUUCUAGGAGUACAAUGAGAAAGCUAGGUAGCUGUUAUUUCUGGAACCAUCGAGCACUGCCUGGAGUGUGGAAAGAAUGUCCAGUGGCAAGGGGGACAAUAUUCAGUGAGAUGGUCUGGGAUGAAAACAGCCUCUGUCAGCUUGAUGUCAUCUCUGGUGCUAUCGCUCAUGCAGACCUACCACAGAUGUCCCAAGGAUACUUCCAGUAUGGUUACUGUCUGCCAUUACCACGCAGUAUCAAUACUCAGGUGGCACCCAGAUGUUGUUGUUUCCUGGACCCUGGAUACUACAAGUGGCCCCUCAAUGUGGGGAACAGACAGAUGGUUCACAACUCAGGCUAUGACAGAACUGGAAAAGCCUGAUGUCUUCUGUGGUUGCUGCAGACCAGUGCAGCAAAGGUGACAUCUAAACAAGGAAGGCACCAAAGACCUUUUGUGAACAUAAAGUUUUUGGUAAUGGAUUAUUUCCAAUCAGUCUUCACUCAUCACCUUCAACUCCCCAGGAAAUGUGUAGACACUCAAAACACUUCAGGACCUCUGAUAUGCUACUGCAGGCAAUUAGGGAGAGGCAGACAUGUUCCCAGCGUCAUGAGAAUCUGAUAAAUCCCGACUGUUUGAAGACACCGCAGCUGGUCUGUUUGGAGCAUAGCUUGGAAUGUCAAAACUUAUAUCCACAGAAGUCAAUGCCUGAGUUUCUCUCUUAUUUGUUAUUGCUUCUACAUUUUCAUUAUAUAGUGUGGGUUGUUAUGGUGAUGGGCAGUCAGAAUAUUGAGAGGCUCUUGGAGAAAAUACAUCAUCUAUGUGAAGUGAUUGGCUUCUCAGUCAGGUUGGGGGAAGGCAAACAGUCUGGGCUCAUGUUCCAAUCAGUCAAGGAUCACAAGGUUAAUAAAAUCUCUAAACUAAAUGCUAUUUGACUUCUUUAAAAAAGCUCAGAGCUUUAAAGGGUUGUGGCAGUCGGAC